UAGAACCUGAAACCGUGUGCCUACAACCGGUCAAAGCCCCUUAUGAGGGUGAUGACGUGCUUUUUGUAGAACGAGCCAACGAGUUACGGUAUGUAGCAAGGUUAAGUACUUAAGGUACGGAGCCGAAGGGAAACCGAGUCUUAAUAGGGCGACUAGUUGCAUGCCGUAGACCCGAAACCGGGUGACCUAUCCAUGGCCAGGUUGAAGCGAGGGUAAAACUUCGUGGAGGACCGAACCACGUUGCUGUUGAAAAAGCAUGGGAUGAGCUGUGGAUAGCGGAGAAAUUCCAAUCGAACUCGGAGAUAGCUGGUUCUCCCCGAAAUAGCUUUAGGGCUAGCGUCGGAUAUGUGUAGUGGAGGUAGAGCACUGAAUGGGCUAGGGGGCAUAUCGCUUACCGAACCUUAUCAAACUCCGAAUGCCAUAUACAUUAAGUCCGGCAGUCAGACUACGAAUGAUAAGAUCCGUGGUCAAAAGGGAAACAGCCCAGACCGUCAGCUAAGGUCCCAAAGUGUAAGUUAAGUGGAAAAGGAUGUGGGAUUUCUAAGACAACUAGGAUGUUGGCUUAGAAGCAGCCACUCAUUUAAAGAGUGCGUAAUAGCUCACUAGUCGAGAGAUCCUGCGCCGAAAAUGUACCGGGGCUAAACUUACCACCGAAGCUACGGAUUUGCAAGUAAUUGCAAGUGGUAGGGGAGCGUCGUAAUCGGGCUGAAGUCGUACCGGAAGGAGCGGUGGACUGAUUACGAGUGAGAAUGUUGGCAUUAGUAGCGAGAUGUAGGUGAGAAUCCUACAGGCCGAAUAUCUAAGGUUUCCUCAGGAAGGCUCGUCCGCUGAGGGUUAGUCGGGACCUAAGCCGAGGCCGAAAGGCGUAGGCGAUGGACAAUCGGUUGAUAUUCCGAUACCACUACCAUCGUUAUUAUCGAGGGUGUGACGGAGAAGGAUAGUGUGUGCUAGCGAUUGGAAAUGCUAGUCUAAGCGUUUAGGGAGUUACGGUAGGCAAAUCCGCUGUAACAAUUCUGAGGCGUGAUGGGGAAGGUCAUUAAGACCGAAGUACAUGAUUCCAUGCUUCCAAGAAAAGCAUCUAGAGAGAGAAGUAGUGCCCGUACCGCAAACCGACACAGGUAGAUGAGGAGAGAAUCCUAAGGCCGGCGGAAGAAUUGCAGUUAAGGAACUAGGCAAAUUGACCCCGUAAGUUCGCGAGAAGGGGUGCCUGCGAGAGCAGGCCGCAGAGAAUAGGCCCAAGCAACUGUUUAGCAAAAACACAGGUCUCUGCUAAAGCGUAAGCUGAUGUAUAGGGGCUGACGCCUGCCCGGUGCUGGAAGGUUAAGGGGAACACUUAGCGCAAGCGAAGGUGUGAACUUAAGCCCCAGUAAACGGCGGCCGUAACUAUAACGGUCCUAAGGUAGCGAAAUUCCUUGUC
rnacentral:rRNA from 1 species